CGAAGAAGAUGACCAAAAGGAGACAAAGGAAAUUAGGGGGUCUGAUUGGUUUUGAAUCCUACCCCUUUAAAAAGCAAGGAGUCCCUUUUAAACUUUCUUUAAGAAUAGUGGAAUUACCUCCACACCCUUAAAUUCUUUCAUGAUUUACGGCCCUGCCAUUUCUCUCUCCUCCUCCAUCUUCUCUGAAAUGUCUCCUCCUCCUUCGACCUCGAUUGCAGCCGCCACUAGCUUAUGCUCUUUCACUCAUUCACUCUCCUCUCUUCUUCCUUUUUAUCUCUCCUCCUCUAAAGUGGUUCUCCCUCUGAUCUUGGAGAUGGAGCCGAGUUUGUUGUGGUUUAAAGGUUUGCAAUCCUUCUCUCUUAGUUCUAUAAAUUCGCGAUUUUUAUGUUACUAAUUGUCGUUGCUUUCUUGUGAAUUUGUUCCGUUCUUUAAGUUUUAGCUUUUUUUUUGUUUGAUUCCUUUCGAAUUUUCGAAAUGGUGUGCUUGUUUUGUUGUCAAUAUAUUACUCGAUUUAUGUUUCUCUAAGCUUAGUAUUUCACAUGAAUUUUCUUCCCUUUCCGGGGUUUAAUCUGGCGUUUUAAUUGUGUUUUUUCCGGGAGAUUAUGGCAGCAGAGUUUGAGGAAUUGUCACACUCGCAAGUGUGGUUUGAUAUGCUGCAGGUAGUGCUUCUGUAGCAAACUAAAAAAAUCGAUUUCAUCAAGUACACUUUGCAGGGUCACAAAAUAUUGUUGGAAGUUGACGAGGAAGAUUUGGUUCAUGAGCCAUGAAUGUGUUAAGGAGAAGUUUGUUUGAACUUAUACAUCUCCAGAAUUUCCAAUGGUGCAGGUAUAGGUAUAACUUUAUAAGGGUACUUACUGCAGUCAGGAAGUGUUCUGAAGCCCAAGCUUCUAAAUACAGAUUUCCAGAAGGAGUUUUGUCAAGAAGUGUGUAUCAUGAGGUUAUCAACUAUGUUGUUGAAAGAUGGUCCUUGACAAAUUCAAUUGAGGGAGGUGCGACUUGCUAAAUGCUAAUUGCUAUUCGGUUGGCUGGAGGACCCUUGCAUCAUUCAACAACUGUCGGAAAUGGGUCUCUCAGGUUGGGUUCGAGACCUUGGCAGCAGCAAAAGCCUGAUAUUUUUAAAUCUUCUGCAAUAAUCGGGCAUGUUACAACUGAAGCAAAUGAUGGCUCUACAUUUUUUGUCAUAGAUUUUAACUGUAUCUUUGAUUAAGUGAUUUUCAUUUCGAUAUGAGUAAGAAGAAUCUGUUGUGGGCAUACUCUCUUAUAUGUGACCUCUUGUCUGAAUUUGAGAUAUGCAGUUAGUAAAAAUGUUAUCCUUUUAACUUUUGACGCCCGAAGUUCCUUUUUAGUGAAAGAUUUUGGAUCAUAAAAAUAUUUUAGCCAAAUGUUGGGUACUUGGGCGCAUUGGAAAAAAUAUUUAGCGAA